GCCAUAUUUUAGUUUAGUUAUUUUAUUUUUAAUUUGAGAUGUGUUGAAGUUUUUCAAACUUCUUUUCACAUUUGAGGAUUUUGAAACGGAUGAAGGGUGGAGUUUGACGCUCAAGUUGGAAUAUUGUUUUGUCCUCUAAGAAAUGAAAAGUGACUCAUUCUGUAUGUUUCUCUGUUGACUGUUUAUCCAAUUUGUCUCUUUUGUGUGUACGCAGAUGUUUGUAAGAUAUGAAAAAGGAUUCUACUUUGGACGCUUUUGAAUAAAAAGAUUUUACUAUAAAGUCAAUU